rnacentral:rRNA from 1 species
AUUGAACGCUGGCGGCAGGCCUAACACAUGCAAGUCGAACGAGUGGCGGACGGGUGAGUAAUGUCUGUGAAACUGCUUGAUGGAGGGGGCUAACUAAUGGAAACGGUAGCUAAUACCGCAUCACAUCAGAUGUGCACAGAUGGGAUUAGCUAGUGGGUGGGGCAAAGGCUCACCAAGGCGACGAUCCCUAGCUGGUCGGAGAGGAUGACCAGCCACACUGGAACUGAGACACGGGCCAGACUCCGACGGGAGGCAGCAGUGGGGAAUAUUGCACAAUGGGCGAAAGCCUGAUGCAGCCAUGCCGAGUGUAUGAAGAAGGCCUUCGGAGUGUAAAGUACUUUCAGCGGGGAGGCGUUACCCGCAGAAGAAGCACCAGCUAACUCCGUGCCAGCAGCCGCGGUAAUAC